rnacentral:rRNA from 1 species
UACGUAGGGUGCAAGCGUUGUCCGGAAUUAUUGGGCGUAAAGAGCUCGUAGGCGGUUUGUCGCGUCGAAUGUGAAAACCCGGGGCUCAACCCCGGGCCUGCAGCCGAUACGGGCAAGCUAGAAUUCGGUAGGGGAGACUGGAAUUCCUGGUGUAGCGGUGAAAUGCGCAGAUAUCAGGAGGAACACCGGUGGCGAAGGCGGGUCUCUGGGCCGAAAUUGACGCUGAGGAGCGAAAGCGUGGGGAGCAAACAGG